GGAGAGGUGGCCGAGUGGUCGAAGGCGCUCCCCUGCUAAGGGAGUGUACGGGUAAUCCCCGUACCGUGGGUUCGAAUCCCACCCUCUCCGCCA
rnacentral:tRNA from 1 species